rnacentral:rRNA from 1 species
GUCGAGCGGUAAGGCUCUGCACAGGUUACUUAAAUGAAAAUUUGGGUAAUGUGUGUAGAGUACACGAGCGGCGGACGGCUGAGUAACACGUAGGAACGGACCCCAAAGUGAGGCAUAAGCACCAGAAAUGGUGUCUAAUACCGCAUGUGGCCUUAGGGCUAAAGCUUCGGCGCUUUGGGAACGGCCUGCGCAUGAUUAGCUUGUUGGUGAGGUAAUAGCUCACCAAGGCGACGAUCAUUAGCUGGUCUGAGAGGAUGAUCAGCCAGACUGGGACUGAGAACGGCCCAGACUCCUACGGGAGGCAGCAGUAGGGAAUUUUCCACAAUGGGCGAAAGCCUGAUGGAGCAACGCCGCGUGCAGGAUGAAGGCUUUCGGGUCGUAAACUGCUUUUAUAUGUGACGACUUCGACGGUAGCAUAUGAAUAAGGAUCGGCUAACUCCGUGCCAGCAGCCGCGGUCAUACGGAGGAUCCAAGCGUUAUCCGGAAUUACUGGGCGUAAAGAGUUGCGUAGGUGGCAUUGUAAGUUGGUAGUGAAAGCGUUCGGCUCAACCGAAUAAACAUUACCAAAACUACAAAGCUAGAGGAUGAGAGAGGUUAUUGGAAUUCCUAGUGUAGGAGUGAAAUCCGUAGAUAUUAGGAGGAACACCGAUGGCGUAUGCAGAUAACUGGCUCAUUCCUGACACUAAGCACGAAAGCGUGGGUAGCAAACGGGAUUAGAUACCCCGG